UGGUAGAGCAACUGACUCUUAAUCAGUGGGUCUAGGGUUCGAAUCCCUAAGGAUGCACAA
rnacentral:tRNA from 1 species